GAAGUGUUUAUAUCCACACAGGUCAGCCACCUGUUUGACAAUGAAGGAACUGUGGCUUUUGCUAUGUGCAUGGCAAUCUGGGCCACUCUGUUCCUAGAGCUGUGGAAGAGACACCGAGCCAGACAUGUUUCUCAGUGGAAGGUCUACGACUGGUGUGAGGAGGAGGAAGAACUCAUUCUUGAAAUAGUCAAUGACCCAAACUGUAAACCCAAUCAGUUCAGACACUCCUACCUGCGCAGCACCUUGGUCCUCUUCUUGGUUACU